ACGGCUCAGUAACACGUAGUCAACAUGCCCAGGGGACGUGGAUAACCUCGGGAAACUGAGGGUAAACCACGAUAAGUCACUACUUCUGGAAUGGGUAAUGACUCAAAUCUACAUGGCCCCUGGAUUGGACUGCGGCCGAUCAGGCUGUUGGUGAGGUAAUGGCCCACCAAACCUGUAACCGGUACGGGCUCUGAGAGGAGGAGCCCGGAGAUGGGCACUGAGACAAGGGCCCAGGCCCUAUGGGGCGCAGCAGGCGCGAAACCUCUGCAAUAGGCGAAAGCCUGACAGGGUUACUCUGAGUGAUUUCCGUUAAGGAGACCUUUUGGCACCUCUAAAAAUGGUGCAGAAUAAGGGGUGGGCAAGUCUGGUGUCAGCCGCCGCGGUAAUACCAGCACCCCGAGUGGUCGGGACGUUUAUUGGGCCUAAAGCAUCCGUAGCCGGUUCUACAAGUCUUCCGUUAAAUCCACCUGCUUAACAGAUGGGCUGCGGAAGAUACUAUAGAGCUAGGAGGCGGGAGAGGCAAGCGGUACUCGAUGGGUAGGGGUAAAAUCCGUUGAUCCAUUGAAGACCACCAGUGGCGAAGGCGGCUUGCCAGAACGCGCUCGACGGUGAGGGAUGAAAGCUGGGGGAGCAAACCGGAUUAGAUACCCGGGUAGUCCCAGCUGUAAACGAUGCAGACUCGGUGAUGAGUUGGCCUUAUGCCAACUCAGUGCCGCAGGGAAGCCGUUAAGUUUGCCGCCUGGGGAGUACGGUCGCAAGACUGAAACUUAAAGGAAUUGGCGGGGGAGCAC
rnacentral:rRNA from 1 species